rnacentral:rRNA from 1 species
UGGUGGAGUGAUUUGUCUGGUUAAUUCCGUUAACGAACGAGACCUUAGCCUACUAACUAGUCGUUUCAAUCCCGAUUGACUACGACUUCUUAGAGGGACUUUGUGGCAAAUAAACACAAGGAAGUUUGAGGCAAUAACA